UACCCGUAAUGCUUCCGCUGAG
rnacentral:miRNA from 1 species